GAUGAACGCUGGCGGCGUGCCUAAUACAUGCAAGUCGAGCGAACAGACGAGGAGCUUGCUCCUCUGACGUUAGCGGCGGACGGGUGAGUAACACGUGGAUAACCUACCUAUAAGACUGGGAUAACUUCGGGAAACCGGAGCUAAUACCGGAUAAUAUAUUGAACCGCAUGGUUCAAUAGUGAAAGACGGUUUUGCUGUCACUUAUAGAUGGAUCCGCGCCGCAUUAGCUAGUUGGUAAGGUAACGGCUUACCAAGGCAACGAUGCGUAGCCGACCUGAGGGUGAUCGGCCACACUGGAACUGAGACACGGUCCAGACUCCUACGGGAGGCAGCAGUAGGGAAUCUUCCGCAAUGGGCGAAAGCUUGACGGAGUAACGCCGCGUGAGUGAUGAAGGUCUUCGGAUCGUAAAACUCUGUUAUUAGGGAAGAACAAUUGUGUAAGUAACUAUGCACGUCUUGACGGUACCUAAUCAGAAAGCCACGGCUAACUACGUG
rnacentral:rRNA from 1 species